CAUCACCUCGUGGAGAUGAAAGAACACUGUAGGUCAACGAAGCUGACGGGACAAUGGCAUUCCCAGAGCAGUAGUCAACAGGCAGAGCUCUAGCCUUCAGGAUGCGCUAAGCUUCAUGGAUACAUUGGUGACUUGAACACUUCUCCCAGAAAAGUGUCAUUACUAUUUCAUUUCCAAGUGCAGUUCGGAGGUGAGAGAGCUGUGUGUGGUAGGCAAGUCAGAUGUCAGCAAGUAGUGAGAAUACAAAGUCAGGCAAUCUUGCUCCAAGGCCUGUACAUCAAACCCAUCAUGACCUUGCCCAUGAUUGUAAUGUCGGAAUAGCACUUUAUAGACUAUUACAAAAUCUUUCUGGUUGUUUUUGGCAUGGUAAGAGCAACUAUACCCAUUUUAUAGAUGAUACAGCAUUGCCGAAGGUUUUGUGACCCAUCCAGGUCACACAGAGAAGUGGAGAAGUAGAAACUGGAACCCCAUCUCCUGGCCUUGGGUGAAGGAUGCUGAACCAAGAAUCAGCAAGAGAGCUCCUUCCCUCAUUCCCACCCCAUGCUCUGCUAUGAGCCAAGCCCCUGAAGCUCCUCGUGAGAUCACUCCCUCAAUAUGAGGCUCAAGUAAGAAUCUCUAUGACAGGUUCCACUUCUGAGAGAUCCCUCCACCACUGUGUGCCUGCAACAAGAACCAUGGACUUUCUGGCCCACGUUUUUCUCUUCCAUUGAAGUUCCUAGGCAUUGAGUUUCCAGCUGUCGUAUUUGACCUUGAAUACCUUGUAUGAGGUGAAAAAUAAAGCAUCAUGCAGCAUUCAUUUUUCUUAACCCCAUCUUCAUCAUCAUUGCAAAGUGAGGUGAACCUGCAGGCUGUGGGCUCGUUCCCUGGGGAGCCAUGUGUCUGGCUCAUGCAAGCAGGCACAUCCCUACCCAGCACAACCUUGCUGCAAACAGAAACUGUCACACAUCCCCACACUCUAUUCAGCUUGUGAUUCUAAAAAAGGUUGCCAGGUUGGACCAGAUUUCAGCUGCAAUAAAAAGGACCAACUACUUAGUUUCUCUUCAGUCUGUCCUGAAUACAAAUAAUACUUGUGUUUGUCAUAAGGUGUUUAAAGGACUCAGCUUUGAGACUUGGGCUUGGAGAGUCGUGUGCCUUUCAAGGAUUCUUGCAUCUGACCGUUAGAAUGCAGAGAUCACUGGCUGUUAGGAUCUGCCCAGAAAUCCCCCAAGAUGCUGGCACUGGAUGGUAUUAGAAAAUUAUGGUGUUUUGCUGUGUUGCCAGAAAAAAAAGGAAAGAUUAAACAGAAAGCAGGCUUAAUAAAUAAAGUUGAAGGUUGCUGAGCAGAGCAACAGUGAUGAGUCUUCACUCCUGUGGCCAGUGCCUUGAGAUGCCUAGAAUGAGUUAUACCCACCCCAUGCUCCAACACACUCACCCCCACCGUCUCAGUCCUCAUCUUACUAUGAUUGGUUGUUAUAAGUGUCAGGAUUGUUCUGGUUUGGGGUUUUGGGGUGUAUGUGAAUGUUUGCUUGCCUGUGUGCAUGCGGGUAUAUGUGGAGGUCGGAAGUCAAUGCUGGGGAUCCUUCUCAAUUGCUCUCUUUUAUUUAAUGAAGCAGGUUCUCUCUGGGAACCUAGAGCUUGCAGAGCCUGCCUAGUCUAGCUAUCCAGCUUGCCCCAGGAAUAACCUGGCUCUGCCUCCAAAGUGCAAGAAUUACCAGUGGGUCACCAUACUGCCCAAAUUUUAUCUGGCAUCUAGGGUCCAAAAUCUGGACUUUACGAGCUCUGCCAUCUCCCCAGUCCCUGAAUAGGUUUAUAACAUGUACUGUGGGUUUUGGCUGACAUGGGGUAAUGGGUGUUAGAUGUCCCAGUCCGACUCUCCUGGGAGAUGCUAUGGGCCUUUGCUGGGUGAACCGUUGGUCACUGGAAGCAUGCAUGUCCUUAAAGGGUCUCCGGAGCCCUGGGCUAUUGUUGUUUGUUUUUCAGUCUUUUGUGUAUGCUCAUGAAUAUGGGGUGUGUGUGUGUGUGUGUGUGUGUUUCUGUGUAAGAGCACACAUGAAUGCACCAUGGCACAUGCCUGGAGGUCAAAAGCCAACCUUGGGUGGUGAAUUGUCACCUUCCAUCUUAUAUGAGACAGAGUUUGUUUUAUUCACUGUCACACAUGAGCUUCCAAGGAUUCUCCUGUCUCUAUCUCCCAUCUCAAGUAGGGGCACUGGCAUUACAGAUGCACACUGUCACCCCCAGCUUUUAGUGGGUUCUGAGCAUCUGAAUUCAGGUCUGCCCUUGGGUGACAAGCACUUUACUCUCUGGGUCACCCACUAGAGCCUGGUUGACCUACCAGGGACCACUCCCUUAAGAAGAACUGACUCUCCCUCCCCUCUAGGACAUCAGCUAUCAAGGGCUCAUUAGCUAGAAGUGGCGGCUCCUGAGACUCUCCCUCCUCGGCCUGGAUGUUGGUUGACAGACCUUGUGCAGCGCAGCCAAACACAGCUACUGUGAGUUCAUAAGUGCCAUAGACCUGGCCAUGUCCAAAAGACAUUGUUUUGACCUAGUCCUCUUUAACCUGUUCUUGCAGUCUUUCUGUCCCCCUUUCCCCAUUGGUCCCUGGCCCUUGCAGGGAGGAUGCUUUAGUAGAGAUAUCCCAUUUGUGGCUGACCUCUUCAGAGAUACUCAUUUUCUGUACUUGGACCAUUGUGAGUUUCUAACUUAACCACCAUCUACCAAUACUGAUUGUCCCCCCAGGGAGAGCCUUUCACAGCCAUGUGGCCAAAAGUCCUUAAAAGCAGAAUUUGCCUCAUUCUGUGACUCCAGGGCCAUCUGAUCCUGCAAGAUAGAGGUGGUGGGACAAAUCUAACAAGGAAAGUCAAAAAGGAAAAAUGUGGCCACCACUGCUAUUUUAAAUGUUUGUUCACAUGACAUUCAAGUAGAUCUGUGGUGUGACCUGAAGGCCCCGUGUCUAACCUGAUGUUGGGCUGUGUGAACAAGGUACAGAGGCAGAUACAGUGUGCAAACUUGAGAGCACAGGGGUGACCCAGGGGACAGAGCUGAACUGCCUCAUGACCUCAGAGCAGGUGCAAAGUUUCUGCCACAUCCACACUCUCUAACCUCCUGACGGUAAAAUGGGGGUCCUAAUGCCUCCCUGAACGUCUGUUUUGAGAGAUAAGCCACAUCAUGGAUGAGAGAGAUCCAGCAAGGUAUCUAGUGUGGAAAAGCUGUGUGUGAUAUCUAUUUCUGAAGCUAAGUUGUCUAAAACACUGCUCACUUUACAGAUGAAAACAUUGGGACCCGGAGGAGGGCAGGGACUUGCCAAGGCCACACAGCAAGCCUAGCUAGAGGCCUCUAAGCCCCUCACUUCCUUUCCUUCAUCAUAUGACACUUGUUGCUGAAUAUGGGACAGUGUGGGUUGUCCCCAAAGGGCUGCACUGCAGGACAGGAGUAUCAACAUUUCCCUGGGAAGAUGGCUCAUGCAUAGCCUCAGAUUCUGAGACAGUGGGGAAAGAGAAGGAGAGAGGUGACUCCCUUCAGCAGGAGUCUCCCCAGUUUGUUUCUUCUUGGGUAGGGAUUCCGUCUGCCUCCUGCCAGUGUGGCAUCACCUGCUCCUUCAACCUGAGUCUAGGGUAGCUACCUGGAUGGAGAAGAAGAGACAAGACACUGGAGACAGGCUGCCACCUCCCAGAGCAGAGGACCACCAACAGAAGCAAGCCAUGCAACCAUCCUAAGAACAGAGCAUCCCACUGGUAACAGAACUUGUGAGCAUAGAACCUUUAAAGCCAGCUUGUCCAUCAGUCAAGUUGGAUGGGGAGGGGCUGGCCCUCAACCCCUGUUCCAACAGAGUUGCCCUGAGCCAGGCCCACCGAGUACUGGCCUUUCUGCUCUGUCUCUGCUACCCACAUCCCAGCAACCUCUGGGUUCAAACCUCCUCUCCAUCCUGAUUAAACUCUCUCUCCCUUACAUCUGUAAUCACGUGCUGGGCUGUGAAUUUCAAAACCCCAUAUAAAUACGCGCUUUAGAAUUAAACUGCUUCAGCAAUUCCCGACAAUGAUUUCUCCAAAAUUAAGCCCAGACAAUUUGUUGAGCCAGAGCACAACAUCUGAAACAUGCAUGAUGGGCUGGGAAGGAAUGUUCUCUGAGCCCAAUGGCUUCAUAAACAAGGCUCCUCUGAAGGCAAAAGGCGGGCUCCACAGGCACGUGCUGCCCCCUGGCAGCACUGAGGGUUAGUGGCAUCCCAGAAUGUCACACACUAUCCAAAGGAAACAAAGCCUAGCCACUCUUGAGCUCAGCUUCCCCCACUCAGAGACUACCCUGAAACUCCAACUGUAAGAAAAAAAACCUGUGAAAAAGACAAAAGGGUGGAAUGAGCUUGGACCUGUAUAGCUGGUGUAGCCUCCACUGUGAAUAAAAGGAAUGAAGCACACACAAGCUGGGUACAGAGGAAUCCCCCAAGCGUCAUGUUGAGGGAACCUGCAAGGCCGUACACUGCUCGGCUCUGUUUAUCUCAUGUCCCGAACAGACAGGUAGAGAGGAACAGAAAGCACAUGAGAGGUGGGUGGUCAGAGGUCUGGGAGAAAUAGGGGUUGAGUGAGUGGGUGAGUUCAUGACUCAUGGGUUUCAGCAUGUAAAGAUGAAAGUAUCUUAGAACUAGACAACAAUGAUAAAACAAUGUGGGUGUGCAGAAUGCCGCCAAGCUGCACACCUUACAGUGGAAAUUUUGGAUAAACAAAUGUUUAUAAAUAAAUAAAUGGGGCUCCGUAGGUGAAGGUGUUUGGCAAUGAGCCUGACAACCUGAGUUAGAUCCUAAGACCCACAAGGUAGAAGUAGAGAAAAAAAAUCCCUGCAGGUUACCCACAGACCUCCCCACAAUAAUAACAACAACAAUAAUAAUAAUAAAUAUUGUGGUAUGAUUACUUACUGUAGUCAAAUUGACCACUGUGAUGGUCAGUCUUGUCCACUUGACAGGAUCUAGAGUUCCCUGGGAGACGAGCAUCUGGGCAUGCUUGUGAGGGUUAACUAAGCAAGAAGGCCAUCCUUAGUGGGUAGUUCCAUCCAUGGGUUGGGGUCCUGAACUGAAUGAGAAGGAAAAACCAAAGCAAGCUGCACACCACCAUUUGUCUCUCCCUUUGCUUCUGGACUCUGGAUACAAUGACCAGCUGCCUCAUGUUCCUGCCACCAAGCCUUCUGGCCUCUCUGCCUUGGAACUGUGAGCCUAAAGCAACCAAGCCUUCCCUCCUUAAAUUGCUUCGUGGGGUAUUCUGUUAAACAAGAAAGUGACUAAUACAGUCUUAAAAACAAGCUCAACCCUUUCUCACCCACCUUCCUGUCCCUCUCUCCUUCCCCUCAGAUGCUCCGGCCUAUCUUGAAGUGACAAUUUCAGAAUAUCCUCAAAGGACUCUUUUCUGCCAAGAUGGGUCACCAGUUCCUUCUUCCAGGACCAGGCAAAGAUGAAAUGAGAAGCGGGGCGGCCACCUUCAACCACAGGUAACAAAGCUCCAGGAUACCGAGGAGAG
rnacentral:lncRNA from 1 species